UACGGGGGGGGGUAAGCGUUGUUCGGAAUUACUGGGCGUAAAGGGCUCGUAGGCGGCCAACUAAGUCAGACGUGAAAUCCCUCAGCUUAACUGGGGAACUGCGUCUGAUACUGGAUGGCUUGGAUUCGGGAGAGGAAUGCGGAAUUCCAGGUGUAGCGGUGAAAUGCGUAGAUAUCUGGAGGAACACCGGUGGCGAAGGCGGCAUUCUGGACCGACAUUGACGCUGAGGAGCGAAAGCCAGGGGGAGCAAACGGG
rnacentral:rRNA from 1 species